rnacentral:rRNA from 1 species
UACCGAGAUGGCAAGCGUUGUUCGGAAUUACUGGGCGUAAAGGGCGCGUAGGCGGCCAUCUAAGUCAGACGUGAAAUCCCCCGGCUUAACCUGGGAACUGCGUCUGAUACUGGAAGGCUUGAGUAUGGGAGAGGGAUGUAGAAUUCCAGGUGUAGCGGUGAAAUGCGUAGAUAUCUGGGGGAACACCGGUGGCGAAGGCGGCAUCCUGGACCGGUAUUGACGCUGAGGCGCGAAAGCUAGGGGAGCAAACGGG